AUGCUCUGGUUUCUCUUCAUGAUACGAGCUAAUCUUUCGCCUUUUACUAAAGAUUACCGUGGAGACGAACAUUGCCAAUGAGCCUAUAAAUAAUUUUUGGUAAUCCUCACCUGGUGGUG
rnacentral:snRNA from 1 species